UACGUACCGGACAAACGUUAUUCGGAAUUACUGGGCUUAAAGAGUGCGUAGGCGGCUUUGAAGGUGGGGUGUGAAAGCCCACGGCUCAACCGUGGAAUUGCGCUCCAAACCGCAAGGCUUGAGGAAGACAGAGGUGAGCGGAACUGAUGGUGGAGCGGUGAAAUGCGUUGAUAUCAUCAGGAACACCCGUGGCGAAGGCGGCUCACUGGGUCUUUUCUGACGCUGAGGCACGAAAGCUAGGGGAGCGAACGGG
rnacentral:rRNA from 1 species